AGGGUGCGAGCGUUAAUCGGAAAUUACGUGGGACGUAAAGCGCAUGCAGGCGGCCUGUUAAGUCAGAUGUAGAAAGGCCCGGGGACCUUUAACCCGUACGGUAAAUUGCUAUUUAGAAACUGGCGAGGCUAGAGUCUUGUAGAGGGGGGUAGGAAUUUCAGGUGUAGCGGUGAAAUGCGUAGAGAUCUGAAGGAAUACCAGUGGCGAAGGCGGCCCCCUGGACAAAGACUGACGCUCAGAUGCGAAAGCGUGGGGAGCAAACAGGAUUAGAUACCCUGGUAG
rnacentral:rRNA from 1 species